rnacentral:rRNA from 1 species
UACGUAGGGGGCAAGCGUUGUCCGGAAUUAUUGGGCGUAAAGAGCGUGUAGGCGGUCCGGUAAGUCGGCUGUGAAAGUCCAGGGCUCAACCCUGGGAUGCCGGUCGAUACUGCCGGACUAGAGUUCGGAAGAGGCGAGUGGAAUCCCGGGUGAUAGCGGUGAAAUGCGCAGAUAUCGGGAGGAACACCUAUGGCGAAGGCAGCUCGCUGGGACGUUACUGACGCUGAGACGCGAAAGCGUGGGGAGCAAACAGG